UUUGCUACCCCGUCUCUCCGGAGGCGGCGCACUAUAGGGGAGACCGCUGGUGUUAAACCAGAGGAAGGCGAGGGCAACGACAGGUCAGUAUGCCCCGAAUGUCCUGGGCUACACGCGCGCUACAAAGGACGGGACAAUGGGAAGCCAGGCCGAGAGGCCGAGCUAACCCGAAACCCGUUCAUAGUUCGGAUCGAGGGCUGUAACUCGCCCUCGUGAAGCUGGAUUCCGUAGUAAUCGUGUUUCAAUAUAGCACGGUGAAUAUGCCCCUGCUCCUUGCACACACCGCCCGUCAAACCAUCUUAGUUGGGGGUGGGUGAGGCUGCGCUUUAUGGCGUAUUCGAGCCUGCCUUCGACAAGGAGGGUUAAGUCGUAACAAGGUAACC
rnacentral:rRNA from 1 species